ACAAACUGCACCAUGCGUCGAGCUCUCAACCCAAGACGACGCCGUCUACAAAUGUGUACAGGGUCUUAAAUGAUAUGAAUUACAAAGGUGUUACACCCAAUUCAAGGUUGAGAGCAUACCUGGAAGCAUCAAAAAUGUUUCUGGCCUUCGUACUCUGAAGUUAAGCAAUUGUAAGAAGCUUCAAUCUUUCCCAGAGAGCUCCCACCGCUGCUAGAAAUUUUGGACGCAGAUGGCUGCACGUCAUUGCAGAGCUAGGGUGGCAAGUUCAAGGACGACUGUACAUCAAUAUGAAGAUCCUUAUUACCGCGAAGAACGUCUUGUGUUUAUGGAUUGCGUAAAUUUUAAUGAGGGUUCAAGGAGCAACAUAAUGGAUAAUGCACGGAUUAGAAUUAUGCAAAUGGCAUCAUCGAAUUCGAAAAUUCAUAAAACAAAACAUGUACGUCUCUGCACACACGCUUUUUGUCUACUUUAAGUUCUUAUAUGACGUGUCCUGUUUGAGAUCGCUAUUCAAUGGAGGAUUCAGUUUAGAGUCAUUUACCCGGGAAAUGAAAUUCCGGAAUGGUUCAGCUAUUGUGCGGAGCGAUGUUCAGCGGAAAUCGACUUUUCUCCAGAUUGGUUUCAUAUGAGAGACUUCUUGGGUAUCGCUGUAUAUGUUGUUGCUGCUGGCAUGCCCAGCUAUGAUUUCAUUUGUUACUGCUAUUACGAAACCGACACUAGUGAAGGCUAUGGAUACAAAUUCCAAUCCCCAAAUACUUUGUUCCCACACGGGCUAAGUAAUGAUCCAGAUCAUGUGUUGUGGUCCUUUAAUUAGCAAGGGAAAACAUUCAAGUGCAGGAGCCAGCCCCAUUCCCUUCACCAAGGUCGCUAAAGCGUCUUUUCACUUCGAACUCGUGCAUGGAGACCGGAAAUUGAAGGCAUGUGGGAUCCGCAUGUUGUGUGCCCAUGAUUCUGGUCGGGGCACUAGCAGGGUUUAUAGAGAUAUGUAAACACAGGUGGCUCGUCAAGCGGUCUUGCUGAUCCGACUGUUGAUGAGAGUUAAAGCAGAUGUGCCUUUGCAAGAGGUGGAACUAGGAGGAGGAGAUUAUCCAAUUUCCAAGUAGUUGAAACUUUUGAUCUUUCAUUUUUCAAAUAUUGAUAGCAUACAUCCAACUGUCUUCAGGAACAACCCCAGGAAGAAAAUGAAGAGGCUCUGUACUUACCAAUGCUGGUGAAUCUUUUUUCCAAUGAACGAUGGACCCUGAUCAGAAUAUCGGAGAAAUGCUAAAUUUGAAAAGGAGGAAGACCCCAUCGAUUUUGAAAAAGCUCUCGACUAUAUUUUGUGGGAUUAACCCGUAUAAUGUUCAAGGAUAUGGUACAAAUAAAGAAUGUUAACCAGUACAAUGUAGACAAUGUUUUGGGCUAUGUUUGGUGUACACAAGUACCAACUUAAAGUGUUAUAUUUUCAACCUCCUUGGCCUUCCUUACCUAAAGAGUAAAGACUCUGAAAACGUGUACUCAAAAUAAGACCAACUAAUACCAGUAAAAUGCAAUUGGUUCUUCCCCAAAAAUCUGCUGGUCUUCAUCAUCUAGAUUUGUAAACUAUCCCUCAAACCAAAAACAAAUAAAUAUUGCUAAGCAUUGUCUGCUCUUCUUUCUUUCA